GACGAACGCUGGCGGCGUGCUUAACACAUGCAAGUCGAACGGAAAGGCCCUGCUUUUGUGGGGUGCUCGAGUGGCGAACGGGUGAGUAACACGUGAGUAACCUGCCCUUGACUUUGGGAUAACUUCAGGAAACUGGGGCUAAUACCGGAUAGGAGCUCCUGCUGCAUGGUGGGGGUUGGAAAGUUUCGGCGGUUGGGGAUGGACUCGCGGCUUAUCAGCUUGUUGGUGGGGUAGUGGCUUACCAAGGCUUUGACGGGUAGCCGGCCUGAGAGGGUGACCGGCCACAUUGGGACUGAGAUACGGCCCAGACUCCUACGGGAGGCAGCAGUGGGGAAUAUUGCACAAUGGGCGGAAGCCUGAUGCAGCAACGCCGCGUGCGGGAUGACGGCCUUCGGGUUGUAAACCGCUUUCACCUGCGACGAAGCGUGAGUGACGGUAAUGGGUAAAGAAGCACCGGCUAACUACGUG
rnacentral:rRNA from 1 species